rnacentral:tRNA from 1 species
UUAAUUGAAGCCAAAAAGAGGCUUAUCACUGUUAAUGAUAGAACUGAGGAACCCCUCCAAUUAAG